GACGAACGCUGGCGGCGUGCUUAACACAUGCAAGUCGAACGAAGAGCGACUGCUUUUUUCUGCUAUCCGUGUGACGAACGGGCGAGUAACACAUGCGUAACCAGCCUGCGCCUUUGGGAUAACCUACGGAUACAAGGGCCAGUUCAGACUACAUACUACCUAUUCUCGGUGGGGGUUGUAGAGUUACGGCGGUUGGGACUGGUAUGGCGGCUUAUCAGCUGGUGGGUGGGGCAGUGGCGUACCAUGGCUUGGUAGGGUAGCCGGCCUGGGAGGGUGACCGGCCACAUUGGGACUGAGGUACGGCCCAGACUGCUACGGGAGGCAGCAGUGGAGAAUAUUGCACAAUGGGCGGAAGCCGGAAGCAGCAACGCCGCGUGCGGGAUGACGGCCUUCGGGUUGGAAACCGCUUUUGCCUGUGACUGAGCGGGAUUGACGGUAAUGGGUAAAGAAGCAACGGCUAACUACGUG
rnacentral:rRNA from 1 species